rnacentral:rRNA from 1 species
CAGAGAGUGCAAGCGUUAAUCGGAAUUACUGGGCGUAAAGCGCACGUAGGUGGAUGUUUAAGUCGGAUGUGAAAGCCCUGGGCUUAACCUGGGAAUUGCAUUCGAUACUGGACAUCUAGAGUAUAGUAGAGGGAAGUGGAAUUUCCGGUGUAGCGGUGAAAUGCGUAGAUAUCGGAAAGAACACCAGUGGCGAAAGCGGCUUCCUGGACUAAUACUGACACUUAGGUGCGAAAGCGUGGGGAGCAAACAGGAUUAGAUACCCUGGUAGUCCACGCCGUCAACGAUGAUAACUAGAUGUUGGGAAGUUUACUUCUUAGUAUCGAAGCUAACGCGUUAAGUUAUCCGCCUGGGGAGUACGGCCGCAAGGUUA